rnacentral:tRNA from 1 species
GUAGAUGCAGCUCAGUGGUAGAGCACAUGCCUGCCAUGCACGAGGUCCUGGGCUCCAUCCCCGGUACCUCCA